UGUCUGAGGAGGCGGAGUGCAUUAAUUGCGCUGCGUAAUGCUGCGCUCAGGUGUGAGCAAGGGCUGAUUAAAGCCGACAUAAAAGGAGUCUGAAGGAAAGGAGAAGGAGAACGGAAUCUGCAGGUGAUGGAGACGGACGCGCUGCUGGGGAAGAUGCAGGCGGGAUCCGUGCGCACUGAUGGCGCAGUAAGGAGUAUUAGGGCAGAGGAGGAACCUCGCCUCUGGAUCGGUCUGGAAAGGGGUGUGGCACGCCAGGGAGUGGAACAGUGCUGGAGUGCAGCAGAGUCUGUGGAUCAGCCAGUGGGUGCUGCAGGCUGAUCACUCGCGCACCAGAAGCAGCAGAACAAGCGGAGCCCAACUUCCAGCCUCUGAUUUUUAAGGAAAACUCUUGAAUUUUAGGUUUUAUCAGGAGAAGAAAAGGUCUGUUUUAUUAUGCCACUUUUGCUGUGGCUUUUUGUAUAAAUAAAACACUUGAACUUGAGUGCUUCACGGUUUGGGUUUUUGAGUUUUCUUCUGUGUGCGAGUAAGGCGAGCGUCGAUCAGUCAAGUUAGUAAAACAAAAAACACUUGAAUAAGUGUUUUUACACUGGAAUAAAAUAUUGUUCACAA